UUCUAUCUUUUCAUAUUGUAUUUACCUUUCUUGUUGAGUCGGCUUAUGAUGCUACUUAAUACCUUUGUUUUGGUACUCAUGCUACACUCUACAUCUGUAUUGUGAUACAGGUCUUAAUACCAACUAUCAGCAAUGAUCGUUUUGCUAGUUGCAGAUUUUUUAUCGGAGGUGGGGGUGAGCACUUAGCGUCUUGGACUUGCUUGUCUCCUUCUGUAUAUUGUAUAGCUAGUCUUUUUCUUUUUGAGACAAGCUUUGCUUGGUCCAUUUUUGGGACUCGUACUCUUUGGUUAGCACCGUUUUGUACUCGUGACUUUCAGGUUCUGGGAGGUAUUUUUUUGUAUAUAGUUUUGGUUGGCUUCCGCUUUUGUCUUACUUUGUUGUUCAAAGUUUGUUCCGCUUAUUUUUACCCUUGUACUCAUUGCAUGUCGUUCUGGAUUACGGAUUGUCUUACCUAUUGGUAGGUUAUAGUAGGUGUCAUCAUGACUUGAGGAAUCAGAUCGUGACAUCACAUCAUUUCUUCUUCUAUGCACAACAAAUU
rnacentral:lncRNA from 1 species